UUGAUAUAGUUAGGUUUAAACCUACUAUCUUGUUGUUUUCUAUUUCUUAUCUUUCUUCCUUUUUCCCUUUUUUUCCUUUACUUUGCUUAUAUUGGGUAUUUUUAUUAUUCUAGUUUUCCAUUUACUUUUGGCUAAUUAGCUAUUUCUUUGUUGGUUUGUGUUUAGUGGUUGCCUUUGGAUUUAUAAUAUGUGUAUUUAAACUUAUUACAGUCUAUCUUUAAAAAUUUAUGCUAUAUACACAUUUAACACGAGAACCCCACAACAGAUUACUUCCAUUCCCCUUCUUUUUGCCCUUGUUGUCAUAUAUUUUGUUCUACGUGUUACAAACUAUUCUUUUACACUUGCUAGAAGCAAUUCAAAUAACUCCCGGUAAAAGAGGCUGUCUUUAAUUCUGAUGUCUAAACAUUGACCAGAAACUGUCUUUCUUAGAAUGUUACUCUUCAAUUUUUAAAUUAAUGUUAUUCUUUAAUUUUUUGAAUGUGGAUUUCUGUCAUUCUCUCCCAGUGACUGAAUCAAGAUUGCCAUUCAGGAUAGAAUACGGAUCUUUAAUGAUUUUCUUGGCCCUAGUGUAUCCCUUGAAGCCUUAGACACUGUUGGGAUCUGCUUGUCCUAUUCUAUUUAAUGAGUUCUUCCCAGGACUCCCAAGAUCUGUCCAUUUUUCCUGCAUUCUAGUCUCUGUGUCUGCGAUUUGGUAUUGAUUUAGGUUGCUGUGCAGGUGCAUCUCCCACCUUAUUGACUAGCUUUUUGAGCUGAUGCAAUAGCAUCUGUGUAAACUUUUCCAAACACUUGGUUCAAAUGAAAUCUUAUGCAGAAGUCCAAUCUGAAAAAAAGGCAUACCCAGUGCUGCUUUGGUCAUUGGUGGUGGUGAGGGAAGAGGAUUGAGAGGGUAUGGAGCCCUUCCAACUUCUCCAUCCCCCAUCGCCAUAAGUCCCCAAGAUAAUUCUGAGAACCCAAGGAUUCCAGGUAGUUUUACUCAAGCUGCACUUGCAUCAGGUCUGCUUUCCCACCUUGGUUUUACGUCC
rnacentral:lncRNA from 10 species